rnacentral:lncRNA from 1 species
UACACUCACAAAUCAGUCCAGGUCAUAGGCGAAAAAGAUGAAACCAAAGCCUUUAGAACUCAAAAUAAGAAACACCAACACCACAUAACUUGAACCCGAAACAAACAAACAUUCACAUGUUUAUGCCAAGAUUGUCAUAACUCCUCAAAACCGAAAUUAUAUUCGCCGGCAGAAAUCAGAAAGGCUAUAUUAACGCAAUCUUGA